rnacentral:rRNA from 1 species
GAUGAACGCUGGCGGCGUGCUUAACACAUGCAAGUCGAACGGAAAGGCUCCUGCUUGCAGGGGUACUCGAGUGGCGAACGGGUGAGUAACACGUGGGUGAUCUGCCCUGCACUUCGGGAUAAGCCUGGGAAACUGGGUCUAAUACCGGAUAGGACGAUGGUUUGGAUGCCAUUGUGGAAAGUUUUUUCGGUGUGGGAUGAGCUCGCGGCCUAUCAGCUUGUUGGUGGGGUAAUGGCCUACCAAGGCGUCGACGGGUAGCCGGCCUGAGAGGGUGUACGGCCACAUUGGGACUGAGAUACGGCCCGGACUCCUACGGGAGGCAGCAGUGGGGAAUAUUGCACAAUGGGCGCAAGCCUGAUGCAGCGACGCCGCGUGGGGGAUGACGGCCUUCGGGUUGUAAACUCCUUUCGCUAGGGACGAAGCGCAAGUGACGGUACCUGGAGAAGAAGCACCGGCUAACUACGUGC